ACGCAUGUCUAGAGUUUGAAAGAUGGUUCUGCUAUCACUCUUGGAUGGACCUGCGGUGCAUUAGCUAGUUGGUAAGGUAACGGCUUACCAAGGCAAUGAUGCAUAGCCGAGUUGAGAGACUGAUCGGCCACAUUGGGACUGAGACACGGCCCAAACUCCUACGGGAGGCAGCAGUAGGGAAUCUUCCACAAUGGACGAAAGUCUGAUGGAGCAACGCCGCGUGAGUGAAGAAGGGUUUCGGCUCGUAAAGCUCUGUUGGUAGUGAAGAAAGAUAGAGGUAGUAACUGGCCUUUAUUUGACGGUAAUUACUUAGAAAGUCACGGCUAACUACGUGCCAGCAGCCGCGGUAAUACGUAGGUGGCAAGCGUUGUCCGGAUUUAUUGGGCGUAAAGCGAGUGCAGGCGGUUCAAUAAGUCUGAUGUGAAAGCCUUCGGCUCAACCGGAGAAUUGCAUCAGAAACUGUUGAACUUGAGUGCAGAAGAGGAGAGUGGAACUCCAUGUGUAGCGGUGGAAUGCGUAGAUAUAUGGAAGAACACCAGUGGCGAAGGCGGCUCUCUGGUCUGCAACUGACGCUGAGGCUCGAAAGCAUGGGUAGCGAACAGGAUUAGAUACCCUGGUAGUCCAUGCCGUAAACGAUGAGUGCUAAGUGUUGGGAGGUUUCCGCCUCUCAGUGCUGCAGCUAACGC
rnacentral:rRNA from 1 species